GCGUUAGUGGUGUAGUGGUACGCACGCUCGACGCGUAACCGAGAGGUCCGUGGUUCGAUUCCCGGCGAAGGCG
rnacentral:tRNA from 1 species